GGGACGGUGGUGGAACUGGCAGACACAGCAGACUUAAAAUUUGCCGCUCGCGAGAGCAUGCGGGUUCGAUCCCCGCUCGUCCCA
rnacentral:tRNA from 1 species